CCUACGGGUGACAGCAGUGAGGAAUAUUGGUCAAUGGGCGAGAGCCUGAACCAGCCAAGUAGCGUGAAGGAUGAAUGCUCUAUGGGUUGUAAACUUCUUUUAUAUGGGAAUAAAGUGAGGCACGUGUUCCUUUUUGUAUGUACCAUAUGAAUAAGCAUCGGCUAACUCCGUGCCAGCAGCCGCGGUAAUACGGAGGAUUCGAGCGUUAUCCGGAUUUAUUGGGUUUAAAGGGUGCGUAGGUGGGUAAUUAAGUCAGGUGUGAAAGUUUGUGGCUCAACCAUAAAAUUGCAGUUGAAACUGGUUGACUUGAGUAUAUUUGAGGUAGGCGGAAUGCGUGGUGUAGCGGUGAAAUGCAUAGAUAUCACGCAGAACUCCGAUUGCGAAGGCAGCUUACUAAACUAUAACUGACAUUGAAGCACGAAAGCGUGGGGAUCAAACAGGAUUAGAUACCCCUGUAGUC
rnacentral:rRNA from 1 species